rnacentral:rRNA from 1 species
UUGGGUAGGGGAGCGUUCUGUAAGCCUGUGAAGGUGGCCUGUGAGGGUUGCUGGAGGUAUCAGAAGUGCGAAUGCUGACAUAAGUAACGAUAAAGCGGGUGAAAAGCCCGCUCGCCGGAAGACCAAGGGUUCCUGUCCAACGUUAAUCGGGGCAGGGUGAGUCGACCCCUAAGGCGAGGCCGAAAGGCGUAGUCGAUGGGAAACGGGUUAAUAUUCCCGUACUUGGUGUUACUGCGAAGGGGGGACGGAGAAGGCUAUGUUGGCCGGGCGACGGUUGUCCCGGUUUAAGCGUGUAGGUGUGUGUUCCAGGUAAAUCCGGUUCACUUUAACACUGAGGCGUGAUGACGAGGCACUACGGUGCUGAAGCAACAAAUGCCCUGCUUCCAGGAAAAGCCUCUAAGCAUCAGGUAACAUCAAAUCGUACCCCAAACCGACACAGGUGGUCAGGUAGAGAAUACCAAGGCGCUUGAGAGAACUCGGGUGAAGGAACUAGGCAAAAUGGUGCCGUAACUUCGGGAGAAGGCACGCUGACACGUAGGUGAAGUGAUUUACUCAUGGAGCUGAAGUCAGUCGAAGAUACCAGCUGGCUGCAACUGUUUAUUAAAAACACAGCACUGUGCAAACACGAAAGUGGACGUAUACGGUGUGACGCCUGCCCGGUGCCGGAAGGUUAAUUGAUGGGGUCAGCGCAAGCGAAGCUCCUGAUCGAAGCCCCGGUAAACGGCGGCCGUAACUAUAACGGUCCUAAGGUAGCGAAAUUCCUUGUCGGGUAAGUUCCGACCUGCACGAAUGGCGUAAUGAUGGCCAGGCUGUCUCCACCCGAGACUCAGUGAAAUUGAACUCGCUGUGAAGAUGCAGUGUACCCGCGGCAAGACGGAAAGACCCCGUGAACCUUUACUAUAGCUUGACACUGAACAUUGAGCCUUGAUGUGUAGGAUAGGUGGGAGGCUUUGAAGUGUGGACGCCAGUCUGCAUGGAGCCGGCCUUGAAAUACCACCCUUUAAUGUUUGAUGUUCUAACGUGGACCCGUGAUCCGGGUUGCGGACAGUGUCUGGUGGGUAGUUUGACUGGGGCGGUCUCCUCCUAAAGAGUAACGGAGGAGCACGAAGGUUGGCUAAUCCUGGUCGGACAUCAGGAGGUUAGUGCAAUGGCAUAAGCCAGCUUGACUGCGAGCGUGACGGCGCGAGCAGGUGCGAAAGCAGGUCAUAGUGAUCCGGUGGUUCUGAAUGGAAGGGCCAUCGCUCAACGGAUAAAAGGUACUCCGGGGAUAACAGGCUGAUACCGCCCAAGAGUUCAUAUCGACGGCGGUGUUUGGCACCUCGAUGUCGGCUCAUCACAUCCUGGGGCUGAAGUAGGUCCCAAGGGUAUGGCUGUUCGCCAUUUAAAGUGGUACGCGAGCUGGGUUUAGAACGUCGUGAGACAGUUCGGUCCCUAUCUGCCGUGGGCGCUGGAGAACUGAGGGGGGCUGCUCCUAGUACGAGAGGACCGGAGUGGACGCAUCACUGGUGUUCGGGUUGUCAUGCCAAUGGCACUGCCCGGUAGCUAAAUGCGGAAGAGAUAAGUGCUGAAAGCAUCUAAGCACGAAACUUGCCCCGA